rnacentral:rRNA from 1 species
AUACGGAGGGUGCAAGCGUUACUCGGAAUCACUGGGCGUAAAGCGCGCGCAGGCGGCUAUUUAAGUUGGAUGUGAAAGCCUACGGCUCAACCGUAGAACUGCAUCCAAAACUAUUUAGCUAGAGUGUGGGAGAGGAAGAUGGAAUUAGUUGUGUAGGGGUAAAAUCCGUAGAGAUAACUAGGAAUACCAAAAGCGAAGGCAAUCUGCUGGAACACUACUGACGCUGAGGCGCGAAAGCGUGGGGAGCAAACAGGAUUAGAUACCCUAGUAGUCC